UUUGUUUUUUACUUUAACACUAACUUACUUUAAUGUUUAUCUUCCUUCGGAACUUAAUGUUUUUUCCUUAAAUUUACAUUAUUAACUGUAGUACUUUUUACAGGUCGUAAGAACUCUCAAGCUUAUUUACAAGACUUCUGCAGCACAGCAAGGGGGUCAGACACCGUGGAAAUCUUUAACGAAAGUCCACCAACAAACAAACGGCCUUUUUUACAAGCAGCAGGAAAUUCAAGUCGACUUCCCUUCCACCGUGGAUCUUCGUCAUUGACCUUGGGAAGACAUCAGCCAUCGAUUAUCUUCAAGGUAGCAGGGACGUCAAGUCUACAUCAGGACGGCUCCAGGACAUCAGGGGCGUCAAGUCUACAUCAGGACGGCUCCAGGACAUCAGGGACGUCAAGUCUACAUCAGGACGGCUCCAGGACAUCAGGGACGUCAAGUCUACAUCAGGACGGCUCCAGGACAUC